UACGUAGGGGGCUAGCGUUGUCCGGACUCAUUGGGCGUAAAGAGCGUGUAGGCGGUCCGGUAAGUCCGCUGUGAAAGUCGGGGGCUCAACCCUCGAAUGCCGGUGGAUACUGUCGGGCUAGAGUGCGGAAGAGGCGAGUGGAAUUCCUGGUGUAGCGGUGAAAUGCGCAGAUAUCAGGAGGAACACCUAUUGCGAAGGCAGCUCGCUGGGACGUAACUGACGCUGAGACGCGAAAGCGUGGGGAGCAAACAGG
rnacentral:rRNA from 1 species